AUUUGGAACCAGUCUGUUGUUCCAUGUCCAGUUCUAACUGUUGCUUCCUGACCUGCAUACAGAUUUCUCAAGAGGCAGGUCAGGUGGUCUGUAUUCCCAUCUCUUUCAGAAUUUUCCGCAGUUUAUUGUGAUCCACACAGUCUACUGGAGUGUAUUAGUGGUGAUGACGGAAUGAUUGUCCCACACCCAGAAUACCAGAUACUGCACUUUUUACAGACUGAGGGUUUGUGGUGACCCGCCUCGCACGUCUGUCGGAGCCAGUUUUGCAACAUUCGCUCAGCUCAUAUUUCUGUCACGUUUCAGUAAUUUGCACAAUAUUUCAAGCUUUCUUGUUCUCAUUGUGUGUUAAAGUGAUCUGUGGUCAGUGGCCUUUUAUGUCGUUACUGUGAUUGUUUCGGAGUGCCGUGAACCGUGCCCAUGUAAGAAGGCACUGAAACAGUGAACGUCAUGUGUGUUCUGCCUGCUCCACCCACUAGCUGCUCCCCCUGCUCUCACCUAGGGGCCCCCUGUUCCCUGAGACACAGCAAUAUUGAAAUUACAUCAGUUAGUAACUCUACUGUGGCCUCCAAGUGUUUGAAUAAAAGGAAGAGUUGCAUGUCUCUCGCUUUAAAUCAAAAGCUAGAAAUAAUUAAGCUUAGCGAGGAAGGCGUGUUGAAAGCCAAGUUAGGCUAAAAGCUAGGCUUCUUGCGCCAAACUGUCAGCUAAGUCAUGACUGCAAAGGAAAAGUUCUUGAAGGAAAUUAAAAGUGCUGCUCCAGUGAACACAUGAAUGAUAAGAAAGUGAGAUAACCUUAUUGCUGAUACGGAGAGAAUGUUAAUCUCUGGGUGGAAAGUCAAACCAGCCACAACAUACUCCCUUCAAUUCUAUGAAGAAUUGAGAGAGGUGAGGCAGCUGCAGAAAAAAAGUCUGAAGCUGGCAGAGAUUGGGUCAUGAUUUUUUAGGUAAAGAAACCACCUCCCUAACGUAGAAGUGCAAGGUGAAGCAGCGAGUGCUAACGUAGACGCUGCACCAGUUAAUCCAGAAGAUUUAGCUAAGAUAACUCAUGAAGGUGGCUACGCUGAACAGAUUUUCCAUAUGGACAACACAGCCUUUUACUGGAAGAAGAUGCCAUGUGGAACUCUCACAGAUGGAGAGAAGUCAAUGCCCGGCUUCAAAACUUCAAAGGGCAGGCUGAUUCUCUUGCUAGGGGCUAAGGCAGCUAACGACUUGAGGUUGAAGCCAGUGCUCCCUCACCAUUCCCCAGAUCCUAGGACCUUUAUGCUCAGUCAGCGCUUCCCUGGCCCAGAGGUAAAGAAUCCGCCUGCCAAUCCAGGGGACAUGGGUUUGGUCUCUGGUCUUGGAGGAUCCCACACGCCUCGGAGCAACUAAGCCCCCGCAUCAUGACUGCGGGGCCUGUGUUACUGCGGGGCCUGUGUUCCAGAGCAAGGGGGCAGCAACCACGGAUGCCCCCACACCCCGGAGCCCCUGCUCCGCAGCAAGAGAAGACACUGCGGUGAGAAGGCUUCGCACCCAGCUAGAGAAAAGCCUGAGCAGCGACGAAGACCCAGCACUGCAGAAAAUAAAAC
ensembl:lncRNA